rnacentral:pre_miRNA from 1 species
AGUGCAAUUGCUGGGUCAUAGGGUAGUUCUAUUUUUAAUUCUUUGAGGAACCUCCAUACUUUUUUCCAGAGUGGCUGUACCAGUUUGCAUUCCCACCAGCAGU